UUGAACGCUGGCGGCAUGCCUUACACAUGCAAGUCGAACGGCAGCGGACCUUCGGGUGCCGGCGAGUGGCGAACGGGUGAGUAAUAUAUCGGAACGUACCUUUCAGUGGGGGAUAACGUAGCGAAAGUUACGCUAAUACCGCAUAUUCUGUGAGCAGGAAAGCAGGGGAUCGCAAGACCUUGCGCUGAUUGAGCGGCCGAUAUCAGAUUAGCUAGUUGGUGAGGUAAAGGCUCACCAAGGCGACGAUCUGUAGCGGGUCUGAGAGGAUGAUCCGCCACACUGGAACUGAGACACGGUCCAGACUCCUACGGGAGGCAGCAGUGGGGAAUUUUGGACAAUGGGCGCAAGCCUGAUCCAGCCAUGCCGCGUGAGUGAAGAAGGCCUUCGGGUUGUAAAGCUCUUUCAGCCGGGAAGAAAACGCAUGGGUUAAUACCCUGUGUGGAUGACGGUACCGGAAUAAGAAGCACCGGCUAACUACGUG
rnacentral:rRNA from 1 species